rnacentral:rRNA from 1 species
AUUGAACGCUGGCGGCAUGCCUUACACAUGCAAGUCGAACGGUAACGCGGGGCAACCUGGCGACGAGUGGCGAACGGGUGAGUAAUGUAUCGGAACGUGCCCAGUUGUGGGGGAUAACUGCUCGAAAGAGCAGCUAAUACCGCAUACGACCUGAGGGUGAAAGCGGGGGAGCGCAAGACCUCGCGCAGUUGGAGCGGCCGAUAUCAGAUUAGGUAGUUGGUGGGGUAAAGGCUCACCAAGCCAACGAUCUGUAGCUGGUCUGAGAGGACGACCAGCCACACUGGGACUGAGACACGGCCCAGACUCCUACGGGAGGCAGCAGUGGGGAAUUUUGGACAAUGGGGGCAACCCUGAUCCAGCCAUGCCGCGUGCGGGAAGAAGGCCUUCGGGUUGUAAACCGCUUUUGUCAGGGAAGAAAAGACUCCUGUUAAUACCGGGGGUUCAUGACGGUACCUGAAGAAUAAGCACCGGCUAACUACGUGCCAGCCGCCGCAGUAA